rnacentral:rRNA from 1 species
UACGGAGGAUCCAAGCGUUAUCCGGAUUCACUGGGUUUAAAGGGUGCGUAGGUGGAAUGACAAGUCAGUGGUGAAAACCUGCAGCUUAACUGUAGAACUGCCAUUGAUACUGUUGUUCUUGAGUACAUUUGAUGUGAGCGGAAUGUGCCGUGUAGCGGUGAAAUGCUUAGAUAUGACACAGAACACCAAUUGCGAAGGCAGCCCACAAAACUGUAACUGACACUGAGGCACGAAAGCGUGGGGAUCAAACAGG